UGCGCCAUGUUUGUGUAAUCGCGAUGUGUGAGGGAACAAACAAGAAGAGAACAACGUUUGGAUGAGUACAGAUGAGACAUUAUGUACUGCAGACGAUGAAUCAAGAUCAGUACAGUUAUGUUACUGGAGAUAAGUUACAGUGUAGAGACACAGACCAGUACUGAAGAGGUAACAAACCAAAGGAUGAGGACAGCAGCUUUUCUGUGCCAGCCGUCGUAAAUACAGGAACAUCCUUCAUGAAGAUGUGUGAGAGAAGCUUGGAAGGCAAGAUAAGUAUUUUUUUUAUAUAUAUAAAAAAGGGUUAUUUAUCUAUUUUUUGGUAAUUGAUAGAGUUAUGUUUUAUUCCCUGUAAAGUAGGAAUAAUACAUGUUUGUAAAAAUGUUAUCUUUUUAUAACACCCAGUGUCAGUGAAGAUUGUGUGGUCAGGAAAUCUGCUGUUUAUGGGAAAUCUAAAGGAACAUCUCGCAGCAUUCUACCACCAUGUUGCCCUGAUGAUUGAGGAAUUUUUUUCAGACUUUCCUGCCUCUAUGGAUCAUUUCCGAUCACACAGACUGUGGAGAGAGAAUGUGCACCUUCAUGAUAUUUGAACUUU